UACGUAGGGGGCAAGCGUUGUCCGGAUUUACUGGGCGUAAAGAGCGUGUAGGCGGCCAGGUAGGUCUGCUGUGAAAACUCGAGGCUCAACCUCGAGACGUCGGCGGAAACCAUCUGGCUAGAGUCCGGAAGAGGAGAGUGGAAUUCCCGGUGUAGCGGUGAAAUGCGCAGAUAUCAGGAAGAACACCCGUGGCGAAGGCGGCUCUCUGGGACGGUACUGACGCUGAGACGCGAAAGCGUGGGGAGCGAACAGG
rnacentral:rRNA from 1 species